AAAGAAAAUAACAAUGAUUCCCCUAGUAACGGCGAGCGAAGAGGGAAUAGCUCAAAUUUUAAAUCUGUUGGGUCUUACCUAACCGAGUUGUAAUUUGAAGAAGCGUUUUCUGCGUGUUUGAUUUAGCCCAAAUCCUUUGGGAUAGGGUAUCAUGGAGGGUGAGAAUCCCGUCCGGCCUAAUCAAAUGUGCUUUACGAUACGUUUUCUAAGAGUCGAGUUGUUUGGGAUUGCAGCUCAAAAUGGGAGGUAAAUUUCUCCUAAGGCUAAAUAUAGGCGAGAGACCGACAGCGAACAAGUACCGUGAGGGAAAGAUGAAAAGAACUUUGAAAAGAGAGUUAAACAGUACGUGAAAUUGUUGAAAGGGAAACGAUUAAAGUCAGUCGUACUAACGGGGAAUCAACCUUUUGAGGGUGGACUUGUGGGAUUCAAAGUGUCUUUGUUUUUCACAACCUGCUUUUUUUGGGUGCACUUUCUCGUAUUGUAGGUCAACAUCGGUUUCGAUCGUUAUAAAAUGACUGGAGGAAUGUAGCUUCGGCCUCGGUUGAAGUGUUAUAGCCUUUGGUAAAUGUAACGGAUGGGAUCGAGGAUUGCAAUGAAUACCCUCAUGGGCUAUCCGCCUGGCCUCUGACAUGUCACUCUGGUGCCGAAAGCUUGCUUAUGGUAUUAUAGUGUACGGUCAAAAGGUUAGAACGGAUUAAAUU
rnacentral:rRNA from 1 species